UACGAAGGGGGCGAGCGUUGUUCGGAAUUACUGGGCGUAAAGGGCGCGUAGGCGGCGACUCAAGUUAGAUGUGAAAGUCCUGGGCUUAACCUGGGGACUGCAUUUGAUACUGGGUUGCUUGAAUUCGGGAGAGGAUAGCGGAAUUCCCAGUGUAGAGGUGAAAUUCGUAGAUAUUGGGAAGAACACCGGUGGCGAAGGCGGCAUCCUGGACCGGUAUUGACGCUGAGGCGCGAAAGCUAGGGGAGCAAACGGG
rnacentral:rRNA from 1 species